UGUUGGCUGUGUGGAGAAGAAGAGUCAGUGCUGUGAGGAGCUGCCCAUGAGAAAUCACCAAGAAGGUAUUCACAGUACCAGCACAGCUAUCAGGACAUCUACACGCCAAACAUUAAAGGAGAUCCAGGGACGUUUACCAGGAAAUGGAAGAUAAAUUCAGUGAGCAGGGCACUGGGACAUUUGUGGCUUCAGAAGAGUUGCAAAAAAACAGUAACCUGACACUUAUUUACUGAAGAUUGAUAUAAUAGACUACAAUCUGUGCAACAAGCAGAGUUUUAUAAAUAGCCUUGACCAGUCCAAAGACCUCAGGGAUUCCAUCCAUGAGAGGUAUGUCUUUUCAACUGAAAAGGAAAACUAUUGUGAAAAUCAAGUUCAUGAAGAAGGAGUGGAGGAAUUUAAAUAUGUAGGGUGUGGAUUUCAAAAGCACUGAACUUUGAUUUGCACCGUCUUUCAAGUGAAGUCAACUGUGAAACUGUUACUGACUUCCACAGGAGCAGAGCCACGGCCUCAUCCAUGCAGCCAGCAAUUCCACCUGUGAGUCCUGAAAUGCAUUUAGGUCUUGGUGAGCCACAUCCAGUGGGUCUGACAUGGGUGGAACAUAAUGGAGAAACACUUAGUGAUUCAUGCAAACAAGGACCAGAAGAAAGAAAACAGAAGUAGCAUCUGUGAAGUAAUUCCUGAUGCACAGCACCUGAAAUACCUAUUGAUCUGUGACUGAAUUGCUGAUUUUGGAUACAGUGAACAUAAUCAGUCUACUUCAAUGUCUGCUAGGAAUGACCAGCCCUUUUCCAGACAUGCACAAUGGAUAACAGAAGAUGAAGGAGGAACACGAGAAUGUCUGAGUUCAUUGUCUGAAUUGCCUUCAAAGGGAUCUCUUGCUCUACAUGGAGGAGAGGAGAGUGGAGGAGAGGUUUGGCUUCUUUCUUCCCCUACAGCCCUACAGCAUGGCCCCAGCAAACUGUGCAGUCCCCUAGACAUCUCAUGAUAUUGAUAUUGAGAUAUUACACUCCACAUGGUCCCAGUGCAUGUAGUUUCACACUCCUCCUGAAAACUGCAACUGAACACUCUCUCACCUGCAAAAAAACCCAAACCCCACUAGAUUUAUACAAGUGAGACACCACAGAAGCCCAAAGGAGAUCCAGGAAAAACGCUAUGUGAUGUGGAUGUUCAGAUUAGUUCCAGAGGUAGCUGGCUUUCAGCACUGUAACACGAAUCAGUCUCUGUUACCCAUGCUUUGGGCAAGGGUACAGUAAAAUAAAUCUACCUACGCUGUCUGCUACACUUUCUGCAUAAAAAGA